rnacentral:rRNA from 2 species
UACCAAGAGAUCAAGUUAUGUACAUUAAGGUAAAAAGGCAGUUAAAUACAGAAAUUAAGUGUUGGUUUACUUAUUUUUUAUAGAAAGGUAAAAUUUAGAUAUAAAAAAAUAAUUUAACGUAAACUAACUGAAAUUGAAUCUGCGAUAGCCUUGAGGGAAACUGGGAUUAGAUACCCCAUUAUUCAUGGUCGUAAAUAAAUAAAGAUUUACCAGAGUACUAUGAAUCAAUUUAAUAAAAUUUAAAACUCAAAGAGCUUGGCGGUGUUUUAGACCUCUCAGGGGAACCUGUCUCGUAAUCGACAAUCCACGUCAAACCUAACCUUUAUUUGCAAUUCAGUUUGUAUACCGUCGUCGUCAGGUAACUUUUAAAAAAUAAGAAGUUGGCAAAGAAAUUAUUAAAUUUAAACGUCAGAUCAAGGUGCAGCCUAUAUAAAGGUGAGGAUGGGUUACAAUUAAGAUUUAUAAUUACGGAUAAGAUAAUGAAAUACUUUUUCUAAUGAAGGAGGACUUGAAAGUAAAAUAAAUUUAUAUAAGCAAUUUGAAUAAGGCUCUGAAACGUGC